rnacentral:rRNA from 1 species
UACGUAGGGUGCAAGCGUUAAUCGGAAUUACUGGGCGUAAAGCGUGCGCAGGCGGCUUUGCAAGACAGAUGUGAAAUCCCCGGGCUCAACCUGGGAACUGCACUUGUGACUGCAAGGCUAGAGUACGGCAGAGGGGGAUGGAAUUCCGCGUGUAGCAGUGAAAUGCGUAGAUAUGCGGAGGAACACCAAUGGCGAAGGCAAUCCCCUGGGCCCGUACUGACGCUCAUGCACGAAAGCGUGGGGAGCAAACAGG